CUACCCGGCCGAGACUGCUCAGGGCCUUUCUUAAGACCCGAUGAACAAUUUUUGAAAGCCCUUACGCCGUAAGGGCUG
rnacentral:snRNA from 1 species